AUGAAAUUUAUGUUGAGAUAUAUAUGUUGUUGCAGAGCCUGGAGGCUUAACCUGAUUGCACACUGUCCAACCAAGAAAGGGUCUGGCACAAAGGAAUUAAGUGCUCCCAACAACAUCUGGUUGGGAUUUGCUUGCUUGGCCUCUAGAUGGUUUACCCAAAGCAAGACUGGACAUAUACUGAAGGUGCUACAGGAGGCACACUUGAGUUUAUCCAAACCUGAUCCUCAGAGUGGGGACUUAUCUGGAGCACCCCAAAUGUCACGAGGAGGGAGGAACUUUCUCUUUCUGCGGAGCCACUCUUUUCACUUGUUCCUGCUUCCAGCAUCAAGAACCAUCCUGAAGACUUGCUGGCCAGAGACCAUGGAAAGUAGAGAAGCCUAAAGGAGCAGAGCUGAGUGCAAUCUGCUGAAGGAGGUGGAGGCUCUGGUUUUAUCCUCAGCUCAAUGUGUGUGAUUUUUAAAGUCAGCAAAUAUUUGUACAUGUAUGAAAUUUUAAGUUAAUAAAUUAUCUCUGUGGCUAUUUUCCUCAUGUGGUUUUGAAACUGAAUUGUCCCUUGAAUAUCCCCCAUUAGUGGGGCAUAGCUUAAAAGCAAGAA
rnacentral:lncRNA from 1 species